AUUGAACGCUGGCGGCAGGCCUAACACAUGCAAGUCGAGCGGUAGAGAGGUGCUUGCAUCUCUUGAGAGCGGCGGACGGGUGAGUAAUGCCUAGGAAUCUGCCUAGUGGUGGGGGAUAACGUUCGGAAACGGACGCUAAUACCGCAUACGUCCUACGGGAGAAAGCGGGGGAUCUUCGGACCUCGCGCCAUUAGAUGAGCCUAGGUCGGAUUAGCUAGUUGGUGAGGUAAUGGCUCACCAAGGCGACGAUCCGUAACUGGUCUGAGAGGAUGAUCAGUCACACUGGAACUGAGACACGGUCCAGACUCCUACGGGAGGCAGCAGUGGGGAAUAUUGG
rnacentral:rRNA from 1 species